CUCAGGUGAGACUUUGAACUUUUUACAUUUGAGUUAAUGCUGAAAUGACUUAAAACUUUCGGCAGCUUUUGAAAAGGGAUGAUUGCAUUUUACUCUGUGAGAAGGAUAUGAUAUUCGGGGGAUCAGGGUCAGAAUAAUAUGGUUUAGCUGUGUGUCCCUACCUAAACUCACAUGUAAUUGUAAUCCCGAAUGUUGCAGGUGGGGCCUGGUUGGAGGUGAUUUAUUCAUGGAUUGGAGAGGUGUUGGAUUGGAAGUCAAAACAGAUUUCUUGGCUGCUCCACAAGGGAGUCCCACUUCAGGUGUGGUGCUGGGCAUGGUCACUCCUGCUGGAUGUUUAGAAGGUGGAAACCAAGGACCUAGGGAAAUACCAGACCAUAAAGGAAAUCAGCAAGAAGUCCCCAGCAAACAUCCACAGAUGGCCCUGGACAUCAGCCACAUUCUGAGAAACAUGUCAUGUUCUGGGAGGGCUAAGGCAUCAAGGCCUGUGACCUGGUGCACAACUUUAGACACCAUCAUCCUGGAGCAGCACUGCACCCUCACUAGCCAGGGUGUUCAUGACUUCCUCAAGGCCAAGGCCACGUUCAAGACUUGGGACUUCAGUGAUGCACUUGUGCUGGGCAAGGUGGCUUCUCCGGUAUCUUAAUUUGGGAGGUAGAAUGCAGCUUGAAAUCAAAUGUCUGAUCAAAGAACUUGAACUUGAUCUGGAGGGCUCUGGGGAGCCAUGGAAGGUGCUGGAUAAAGGAGGGACAGUCAGAUAUGUCUUAGAGAUGACUGUAGAAGGCUGCCUGGAAGGAAUGAACAAGAGCCAGGAGACGCAGGAGGGAGCUUGUGGGGCAGGUCUGGAGAUGGCAAGGGAGGGAUCCUGCUUGGAUGAAAAGUCUUCAGGGACUGUUUCAGGUUACACUCAGGUGCCCUCAGAGCUAAUGUGUUCAGAGGUCUUGUCUCCAGGAUGAAAAUGGGAAGGAGUUGUCAGAUGAGGACAUAUAAAUGGAGGCUGGCAUCUUCAUGAGUACCAGCGGUGGUCCCGGUGUGGGUCUCUCCAUCCAGGGACAUGGUGGAUGGACACUACAUCAUUCCAUUCUGCCCUUCCUUUCCCUCCUCCCAUUCUCCCGAGGGCCUCAGUGCAUGGGCGGUGUCCAACCUCUGGUGCUGAAGCAGCCGAGAGACCCAAGCCUGCGUGGCUGCCUCUUAGGAUAUGACAGCACAGCCACUGGGCUCUACUGAAUCCUGUGCAACCUCAGAAGACACCCAGGAGUGAUGCCAUCACGUGGUGCAAGAGUUCUGAGGGACCGCAAUCCUGAAGACAUUGAAUGGCUGUGUUCCUGCUCACUGCUGGAGGCGCUGUCAGGGGCCCUGUCCUCAACCCCGGGUCUGACCCUUGCAGAUCAGGCAGGACAUUCUGGAGGAAUCAUGCCCUUGGAAGGAUCCCUGAGGAGUGACUGUUGUUAGAUUAAAAAACAGUGGCAAAGAGCAAUACAGAGAGUUGCCAAAAUUCACACCGCUGGUCCAGGUUUGAAGCAAGCAAUCUGUACCUGCAGUCCUUGUCUGUAACCAUGGCACCCUGGCUUCUCACACAUCUCAUCGUGGAGUUCCACCAUGUGUCAGGCAUGGCACUGAGCACCUUCUUUUAAGAAUAUAAUUUGUAAUUAUGUAGAUUAUUAAUUCUACUUCAAAAUGCCACACAGCCUUCAUGUGAUAAAAUGAAACAAUUGCUCAACUGAUCUCCUGGGAUCUCUACUAAGAUGUUGGCAGCCCGGCCAGCUGGUCUGGCCCUGGACGUGCCUUCAGGGUCUGGUUAUGCUUCAUGACCUGCAUUGUGGUCAGUGCCAUUUUGCAGACUUUGAUCACAGUGAAACGUUCCAUGGGAACUUGGGCCAUGAGAAACAUCCUUCCUAACCACGUGACUGCAGAAACAUCCUUAUCACAUCCUCCUGGGCAAAGGCCCAACAGCCUGACUGCAGGGACAUCCUUGCCAUAUCCUGCUGGGCAGCAAGCUCUACCACCCAGAUCCCUCCCUCCCAGUCCCAUGAUUACCCCAGCCUGUGAGUGGCAGUUGGUUCUGGCACUAAGCUGGUUUCCUCCUCCCCAGGGUUUUGCUGGCAAUAAAGAUGUUGCUGUUG
rnacentral:lncRNA from 1 species